UGGAAACGCUGGGUCAAGGAGUACUUGC
rnacentral:sRNA from 1 species